rfam:Candidatus Pelagibacter sp. IMCC9063, complete genome.
UGUCUUUGAAUCAGUUUCAGAAAGUUUUAUAUUAUUGAUGUUGGUUUUCCAACUAUAACGAUAAACGAAAUUCGUAAUAAACAUUUUGGACCAGGGGGCGGUACCCUGCACCUCCACCAUUUACAACUCAUGGGGGUGAAAUAGGCUCGACAGAUGUCUAAAAGCUUUUCUUUCGUUCAGUAUUGUUCCGCUGUGACGGGCUACAUUUUAAAUGCUAACGAAAGUUACGCUAUUGCUGCUUAAUUAACUUCGGUUAAUUAAAAAGCAGGGGUCCGGGGCACCUUGCAACAGAACGCCCCACU